rnacentral:lncRNA from 1 species
GAUUUACAUGUGGAAAAACUGAGAUUACAUGUACCUGCCUUUAAUUUCAGCACUUGGUAGGUAGAAAUAGGUUCAAGAGUUGAAAGGCAGCUUGAGCAACAGGGAACCCCAAGAGAGGGGAGGGAAAGAAGGGGCAAUUACUAUUGCUUCUUCCAGACUGCCAGCUGACUUUGAAUACUUAACAUAUGCCAAGCACUGUGCUGCUUUUUAAUCUUCACAAUAAACCCAAAAGGUGGGCAUUAUCCUCCUUUUAUAGUUAAAGAAACAGACUAGGAGGUUCUAAGUAACUUCCCGAGGUAAUUAAGCAAUAGUCAACAGCAGAGCCAGGAGUUUUAACAGGAGUUAACUUACAGGCACCAACUAGCCUUGACUGAUCACUACCUGCACCAGAGGGACUGAAUUCCAGGAUUCUAAUGUCUGCAGGGAAACCUGGCUUCCAGUCCUGUGUCUCAACGAUGUGAUUUCAAAUCUGGAUAUAUUGUCGGUGGUAGAUUAAAGGCACUAUGAUUAUGAAGUCCUGAGUUCUACGCCAACACAGCAAAAAACCAGCCACCAACCAAACUCCACCCUAUUCCAAAAUAUUAAUUAGGGGUUGAAGCCGUUCCCUUGUGGAUCUGGGAGCAUCGCCGUAUUCUGGAGCAGUAUUUCAUGAA